UACGGAGGUGGCAAGCGUUGCUCGGAAUCACUGGGCGUAAAGGGUGCGUAGGCGGGUCUUUAAGUCAGGGGUGAAAUCCUGGAGCUCAACUCCAGAACUGCCUUUGAUACUGAGGAUCUUGAGUUCGGGAGAGGUGAGUGGAACUGCGAGUGUAGAGGUGAAAUUCGUAGAUAUUCGCAAGAACACCAGUGGCGAAGGCGGCUCACUGGCCCGAUACUGACGCUGAGGCACGAAAGCGUGGGGAGCAAACAGG
rnacentral:rRNA from 1 species